rnacentral:rRNA from 1 species
CCUACGGGUGGCAGCAGUGGGGAAUAUUGGACAAUGGGCGAAAGCCUGAUCCAGCCAUGCCGCGUGUGUGAAGAAGGCCUUCGGGUUGUAAAGCACUUUCGGUGGGGAAGAAAGCCUUGGGGCUAAUACCCUCGAGGAAGGACAUCACCCACAGAAGAAGCACCGGCUAACUCCGUGCCAGCAGCCGCGGUAAUACGGAGGGUGCGAGCGUUAAUCGGAAUUACUGGGCGUAAAGCGCGCGUAGGCGGUCUGAUAAGCCGGUUGUGAAAGCCCCGGGCUCAACCUGGGAACGGCAUCCGGAACUGUCAGGCUAGAGUGCAGGAGAGGAAGGUAGAAUUCCCGGUGUAGCGGUGAAAUGCGUAGAGAUCGGGAGGAAUACCAGUGGCGAAGGCGGCCUUCUGGACUGACACUGACGCUGAGGUGCGAAAGCGUGGGUAGCAAACAGGAUUAGAUACCCGGUAGUC